GGACUACCGGGGUAUCUAAUCCCGUUUGCUCCCCUGGCUUUCGCGCACUCAGCGUCAGAAAGGGUCCAGCACCUCGCCUUCGCCACCGGAGUUCCGCUGGAUAUCAACGCAUUUCACCGCUCCACCCAGCGUUCCAGAUGCCCCUACCCUCCUCCAGACUCGCAGUAUCCACGGCACUUCCCCAGUUGAGCUGGGGGCUUUCACCACAGACUGGCGAGUCCGCCUACGCGCCCUUUAAGCCCAGUGAAUCCGAACAACGUUCGCACGGUUCGUCUUACCGCGGCUGCUGGCAC
rnacentral:rRNA from 3 species